AAAAUGACAAAAAAUAGUUUAUUUCUUUGAUACAGAAUAUACAAUAUUGCACUCAUGUUGCAAGUAGUGUGUAAAAAGAGAACUCUAUUUAGACUGCCAUAACAAUUGUCUGGGCCUGCUAUUUCAUGGCGUCACCAACAAUAACUAUAGCACUGCCCUUUAACCCACUGAAAAGGGCAACGCUUGAUAAAGCCUGCUUUUUAUUCCAGCGUCAGUGACCAGCAGUUUAAAAACUAUAUGCAUAAUGAGGAAACUUCAGUUAUAUAACUACCUUUCAGUCACAUAACUACCUUUAAGUCUGAGGCACUGGUAAUCUGUAUCCAUAUAUUAAAGAACUAGAUACUGUCAAGCUAUUUUCCAGGUUUUAUCAAUUAUUUUUCAAUAACUUUUCCUUUCCAUUGUACUUAAUCAUAUUACCUAAUAUGCUAUUCUUUCCUGAACAAAUGAAAGUAUUUUGCAGCAAUAACUAUUGUUCAUCCUUGUGAAACCCAUUAUAAACUUUUUUAUUCAGACUGAGCUACAAAGUCUGAUUUUCUCAGAGUCACUCAGCAAUUUGGGUUAAUUCAGAGUUAGGAAAGGAUUUCCCGCCACCAGCCACACACUCAGCCCCUGAGCU
rnacentral:lncRNA from 1 species